rnacentral:lncRNA from 1 species
AAUUACACGUAAAAAUCCACACUUCUCUGUUAUAUGGAGUCGAGCUGCAAAUACUAUCUACUGUAGUCAGCUCCAAAGUUCAAGAUAUAUCUAGUCGUUACCCUACCCAUUGCUUGUGGGGUAAGAUCUUUGUCCAUGCGGCAUAGCUAAGAAUCUGCCUUUUGUGGAAUAAUGCAGUGACGGAGUUCCGUUGGCGGUGUUCUACAGAGCCGCUGCUUCAAGCCAUGUAUUAAAAAUCCUUAGGAGUAUUGUUGUAUUUUUUUAAUCGCUACCGUAAUGGAUACCAACGAGCAGAAGUGGACAUGGCAGUCGCUAGGUUGGCUGGUCCUUGAACGCCUGCAGAGAGGUGAGAGGCACGAAGUAAAAGGAAAUCUUUUAGAAGUUAAAAACUUAACCAGCACUGGCCUUGAUAGGUUGGUUGUGUUUCGACAAGUGGGCGGGGUGGCUUAUCGGCCUAGACAACUCCAAGUACCAAUGGGCAGUGGCUGAGCACCGCUUACAACAGAGCGAGGUAAGUAACGCACGGAGCCUGGUACGUAUUCCUCCUUGCAAGGCUUUUGCGUUGACGGCAUCCUUCCUUGUCUCGCAGCUUGAACAGGAGAUCGGCAGACGGCUUACAGCGGAGGUAGGUCAGGACGCCGCAACCCACACCGCCUCCUUGCUAUCCUUCACGUCAACAAAUAAAUCUCACUAUCGUGCCCUCAGCCAACCGUUUCCCCGUUUAAUACCUCUCUUGCGCAGGACAACAUCCGGCAGCAAAUGGAAGAGGGACCCCAGGCCGCUGCUUGCAAUGAUUCGGGUCUUGCGCAGCAACGAGUGCCAGCAGGCGGGGUCGGCCGCCAGGAGGUAGAAUUGACAAACCCGCUGAGCAACACCAUCGUGCGGUAACAGCGAAUGGCUGGCUUGGGAUAGGUUAAGCUACAUGGGCGUCACAUAGGCCACUGCCUCCUAUGUAUCCCUACAGCUCAGCUGAAGACAGAACCAGCAUACCGUUUUGUAUACCUCCAAACACGCACACAUGUGCUAUGUGCGCACACGCGCACGCACACGCACACUCAUGCAGAUAUGUGGGCGCAGUGCACAUUGCUUGCCACGCCUUGGCAUACACGCGUGACAUGCCCCCGUCAAGUCGAUGUAUCAUAUACUGUGUAUAUUCGUAUUGGCCGACUGGCACUUUUAACACACUCGAUGGGUAAUGAACGCGUGGUGGAUGUGGUGGCUGACUCUCUGCAUGUGCCGGCCUGAUGCGUGUGGUUGUGGGGGUCGCUUCUGCACUGCCUCGCACGCAGUGUAGGGUUCGCGGGUAGAGUUGUGUUGCCGGAGCUCCCUGGCUGAACUUCAGUGAGCUGGCUAGCUGCUACCCCAGCUAGCUGUGUCGCCUCCAUGCGGUGACUAUUACUACUAUUACUCGAUCCUGCGGCUGCCGCAGCUGCUGCAUGCAAUUCCUUUUGUCGGCUGUUAGGCUAUGCGGCAGAGGAUCGGACAUGUGCAUAACUGAUGAAAAGAAUGAGCACGUAAAGAGCAAAUGCUGACUGUCAAUUUUCCUGGAAUUGCUUUUAAUAACAAGAGAGAGAAGUACGGGAAUAGUAGGAUGGGGGAUGGACGUACGAGGUGUCACGCCAUAUGACGUGCUAAUAGACAUAAGAAAUGCGGAUGGAUCACUUGUGGGUAAAUGAUUAUACAAUAGGAGCUUUCCUCAAAGCUCCGGCUUGAUUCGGCUGGCUCACUCCAGCUUCGUUAACUUGAUGAGCGCGAUCGCGGUAGGCGAGGACGGGCUGGGAACGGAUCCCUGUCGAGCCUAGAGGUAUAAGCACUAAGGGCGGACCUUAUGGAAUGCUGUGUACACACUCUCUGUCUAUCCUGCUCUGAUGCGCGUCUCGAGGUAGGGUAGGAUCACAGUCUUGUUACACCAAAACAGGCCUAUCAACCCUCCUAUGAUUAUAUUAUCCUUAAUAAUCAAUGGUCUGUACGCUCACGAAGAGUUGCUUCGAGAGCCAAACGACAAAUGUUUGGCCUCUUCGCACUCGCAUUUAUGGCGAAGUAUCGACUGAUCCACGCCGGGCCUUAUCACACGAGGCCCUAUCCUGGAUACGUAACGCUCAUCCGACUAACGACAGAUGAACGACAAUUGAACAUCCUCAAACGACAACGGAAAGCGCCUUAUACGCUAGUCAGGCAACACCCAAAGUCUCAAUUAAAUCAAU